GCCCAAUAAGAUAAUCUAAAAAUGGUGUCGUUCAUGGAACGGGCGUCCCGGGGGUGCUAAUCCUUCCCUGGGCGUAACCGUACUCCCAAACCUAGAUCUAGAAAAAUGUAGACCAGUUUAAGAUUCUCUCGGCGGGCUUAAAAUUAAUUUAAGACUUCGUCAAUUAGAAUCGAGUCAAUAGGUAGCCAAUCACACCUAGAAAAAAGAUUGGUGGUGACUCCUAAUGUGUUUUCAUCACGUCUGGCAGUCGGGUUCUCAGACCCGUACGUUACGACAAAUAUUAUUCUUGUGCUAAGCCAAAAGGGUAUUUUAUUCCAUGAGAUAUAUAAUUACUUUGAAACCAGCAAAAGCUAAUUGCCAUGUAAGAACAGAGAAAACACCAAAGUUGCCAUGGCAACCUAAAAUCUAAGAACACAUGCAACUGCGAAAACUUACCCCAUAGGAGAAACUCUUCAGCUCUCUAGCCAACAUAUCUCUAAAUUUUUCCACAACUAAUUCUUCAUCACAAUUUUCAGUAAGACCCAAUUCCACCCCGAAUGCCGAUUGGAACCUCGCAAGGCUUAGCAUCAGCUUCCGCACCUCCCUGGUGAGCGACAAUUAUUAAAUCUCGCAUUUCAAGAAAUCAUAAGUUGUUUCCAAAUCAAAAUAAUAAAAUAUUAUUUUUUUGCUCACAAGGACAUUUUCAUUAUUUUUCUUUGAAAAUACAGAAACCCACCAAAAACAUGGUGUAAAAGCUAAAUAUGUUCAUACAUACUUUAAAUCAGAUAAUUGAAGUAUAAAAUUACUUUUACAGUGACACGUGGGCCCCCAACUGACCAAGAAGGUGUAGGGCUACGAACCCUUACUUUCUAGGAUGUAACUCCGAGAUUAAUUCUCGUCUUAAUCAACUAUCAACAAACUGUCCUGAGUCUGAAAAAUAGAUAGGAAGAGGGGUGAGAUUACAUAAUCCCAGUGAGUAAACAAACACCACCUAAACUAUCUAAAGGCGAGUAAAUGGAGACAAUUAAAAAAAUUCAUUUCAGCAAAUUUUUCACAACACGAAUAUUCAUUUCAACCAAAUAAUCAAUAUGACUCGUGAAUUUCUCAAAACUUGGCUCAUGCCAAAUCCUGUACUCGGGGACACCUGGACCAAGGGUAUCCAACCGAGUCUGCCAAGGCUGUGAAAAAUUUUAUAUAAUCAUAGAACUUGUUUUUAUUUUGAAAAAAAAGCAGUAGUUCCUUGGCGUUGACUGAGUCUCACUUCACGUGGUGGUUAACGUAAAGUACACUUAAAAAGCCCACCUCAGGAGAUACCCUACGCGCCUCUACUAUCGAAGUGAGAAUAUAAAGGAGUUUACCGUGCCCCUUUAAUAGGUUGGUCCACGAAACCCCGCCACUGUAGUAGCUAAUCUUUAAUCCACCAAUUGAUCAAAUCUCAAUGGCAUAGCAUGGCAAUUACAUUACUAAUCAAUUUAUCAAGGCAAAAUAGACAGUUCAUAUUUUUCAACACAAGUAUAAAUUCAAUCAAUCAUGCCAAUUUAUCACAAGCCAUUUAAUUCAAAUCAUAAUUUACAAUAAAUCACAUCAUCUCCAAUUACUCAAAUUUUCAAAUCCAACAUUCUAUUUUCAAAUCAAUUUAUAAGAAAUUUAAUUUAUUUUAUAAUUCCAUUUAUUUUAUAAUUCCAUUUAUUUUAUAAAUUCAUAUUUUUCUCAUAAAACAAAAAAUUCAUCAUUUAAAAUAAUUUUCACAAAUCACAAAAUUGAAUAAAAACUACUCUAGAUAAUUUAGAUGAUAAUAGGUUUACUCACAGUUCUAGGAGUCGAUGUAUUUCUAAUCUCAAUCUUCAAGCACAAUCUUUGUACUUUUAUCAGUGUAAUUUACUCACCACCUAUCCACAAUGUACAAUACAUAACUCACCACAUUAAUGCUUGACCAUUAUAAAAUCAAUUCAAGCUCGGCGUAUAUGCAUGAUAUGAUAUGUAACUUAUCCGACUACCGCUUAAAUGCGGUGCUGACCUAAUUUGACCUAUUACCCUAUUAAAUGACAAUUGUGUCCGAUUUGGCUCCAAAUUGCUCCAUUUCAUUUCUAGUACCUCAAUUCACCAAACAUUAUUCAAAUAACACCAAUUUCAGAAUCAAAACCCUUCCAUUUCUUCAUGGAAAAAUUUGGUCAUUACAGUACACUAACACCGUGAUUUUUCCUACUUAAUUUUCUCACCAUUAUUCAUCAUUUUCUAAGCCAUUUCUCUUGAAAUAAUAACAAUCCAUCGCCCACACACAUCAAGGAAGAUUCGACCAAUGAAGAUUCAUGGGGAAAAUGGAUUCUUUUCUUGUUGUUUUACUUCUAAAUAUGCUAAACUAACUAAAAACACUAACAUAUCUUAAAAUCAAUUCAAUCCAACAUCUUUCUCUCUCCUUACCCAUUUUGACCAGUCAUGAAUUCAUCAUGAAAACAUGUAAUUUAACCAUGAAAAUUAAGGGAAAAUGCAUGGGUAAGAUAAAUCACUAGCAAAAUCAAAGAAAUUUUACCUUUGCUUGAUCAAAUCCUUGAAUUCCAACACUUUCUCUUUGAUUUUUCCCACCUAGGGUUUGUUCUUCCUUGGUUUCUCUUCUCUUCUGGUUUGGC
rnacentral:lncRNA from 1 species